CUGACUGUCCUGGGACGAGUCCUCAGGGUCGAAGAGGCCGACGACCUAGGCCACUCCAAAGUCGGAGAUCUUCAGGGUGCCGUCCAUGGUCAGCAGGUCGCCCGGCUUCAGGUCUUUGUGCACCACCCUUCGUCUGUGCAAAUACGUACCCCUCUGUAGGACCCUUCGCCCACCACGUAUCGUCCAACCAUUAGCACGCCUUUUGGACCGCGCUGGUAAAUGACUUGGACCUGCCAAUGAGAAGUUAAAUAUUCGUGGCAAACAAAAAGAGGAGUUUGGAAAAUACAUAGAAAUAUAAACCUAAUCUCCGAAUCAACCUUGUGGAAGAGCAAAAGUUCCUCCUCCUCCCAGUUAUCAUCCGUUCUUUGGCAGUGUGAGUGCUGAUAGCUGUAGAAAAUUAAUUUGGAUUAUUUGGAAAAUUUUAUUGACGACGUAAAGUCGGCGUGCCCGACUGUGCCCGACUUCAAAGCCGCAGUAAACAUUGCCACGCCCCCGGCCAGUCGAGUUUCUAAAGUUUACAAGCAAAGUCACAUUUCGGACAAUUCUUGCCGAUUUGAAUCGCCGUCGGCCGUCGUCGGCGGACGACGCCGCAACAGGAAUUGCCAAUGAAGAAACAUCCUUUUAGCAAGUAGCGAAAAGACUUGCAAGCGGUGAAGAGGUGAAGACCAAAGUCAUGAGCCGCCUGUACUGUGAGCCGAGUUCACAUGACUCACGUGACUGGCCAGCCGCCAAUCGAGAGGACACCUUUUUCUUCCUCACGCUUGCAGAACUUCUUGCUUGUGUAGACGUCGGAGGCGACUUGAAACCACAUGGUCGCAAAUUUGAGCGCUUCCAGAAGUACUUUUCCAUCAACUCCUACUCGGGAGAAGAAACAUCAGUGAAGCCGUUGAGGUCGAGAAGAGUGCCGAUCUUAAACGGCCGCUUCGGUAAAGCGGCCGAAAGUUGGCGAUUUUCAGCUUAUGCAGGCCCGCUUCACUUGCCCUGGAGCUCGACGCUUUGCAAUCUUUGCUCGCAGCGAGCACGCACCGACCUGUUCAGCAAGCACACCGCUGGCGAGUCGUAUGCGGUGCAUACUUGCUGCGCUCUGCACUAAUCGGCUAUUUAAAAAUAUUUCCAACAUUUUAAUAUAUACUCUCUAUAGUUUUAUUUCAUGUGUUAAUAAAAUGAAAAAAUCUUUACAUGAAAAAUAAAAAAAAAUAAACAUUUUCUUGUGCAACUUUUAU